rnacentral:misc_RNA from 1 species
GAUGAAGAACGCAGCGAAAUGCGAUAAGUAAUGUGAAUUGCAGAAUUCAGUGAAUCAUCGAAUCUUUGAACGCACAUUGCGCCCCUUGGUAUUCCGAGGGGCAUGCCUGUUCGAGCGUCAUUAUAACCCCUCAAGCUCAGCUUGGUGUUGGGGCCUGCUGCACUGGCAGCCCUUAAAAUCAGUGGCGGCGCCAUCUGGCUCUAAGCGUAGUAAUUCUUCUCGCUAUGGAGUCCUGGUGGAUGCUUGCCAUCAAACCCCAAUUUUUCUAUGGUUGACCUCGGAUCAGGUAGGGAUACCCGCUGAACUUAAGCAUAUCAAUAAGCGGAGGA